rnacentral:tRNA from 1 species
AGGAUGAUGGCUGAGUGGUCAAUAGCGUAUCACUGUAAAUGAUAUCCUUUCCAGGUUCGAAGGUUCAAAUCCUUCUCAUCCUA